GCGAGUUACGAUCUGAUGCAAGGUUAAGCAGAAAAUGUGGAGCCGUAGCGAAAGCGAGUCUGAAUAGGGCGAAUGAGUAUUUGGUCGUAGACCCGAAACCAGGUGAUCUACCCUUGGUCAGGUUGAAGUUCAGGUAACACUGAAUGGAGGACCGAACCGACUUACGUUGAAAAGUGAGCGGAUGAACUGAGGGUAGCGGAGAAAUUCCAAUCGAACUUGGAGAUAGCUGGUUCUCUCCGAAAUAGCUUUAGGGCUAGCCUCAAGUGAUGAUUAUUGGAGGUAGAGCACUGUUUGGACGAGGGGCCCCUCUCGGGUUACCGAAUUCAGACAAACUCCGAAUGCCAAAUAAUUUAACUUGGGAGUCAGAAUGUGGGUGAUAAGGUCCAUAUUCGAAAGGGAAACAGCCCAGACCACCAGCUAAGGUCCCAAAAUAUAUGUUAAGUGGAAAAGGAUGUGGCGUUGCCCAGACAACUAGGAUGUUGGCUUAGAAGCAGCCAUCAUUUAAAGAGUGCGUAAUAGCUCACUAGUCGAGUGACACUGCGCCGAAAAUGUACCGGGGCUAAACAUAUUACCGAAGCUGUGGAUUGUCCUUUGGACAAUGGUAGGAGAGCGUUCUAAGGGCGUUGAAGCAUGAUCGCAAGGACAUGUGGAGCGCUUAGAAGUGAGAAUGCCGGUGUGAGUAGCGAAAGACGGGUGAGAAUCCCGUCCACCGAUUGACUAAGGUUUCCAGAGGAAGGCUCGUCCGCUCUGGGUUAGUCGGGUCCUAAGCUGAGGCCGACAGGCGUAGGCGAUGGAUAACAGGUUGAUAUUCCUGUACCACCAUUAUUCGUUUUAAGCGAUGGGGGGACGCAGUAGGAUAGGCGAAGCGUGCUGUUGGAGUGCACGUCCAAGCAGUGAGAUUGAGUGUUAGGCAAAUCCGGCACUCUUAAGAUUGAGCUGUGAUGGGGAGAGGAACUUGUUCCUCGAGUCGUUGAUUUCACACUGCCGAGAAAAGCCUCUAGCUAGAAUAACGGUGCCCGUACCGCAAACCGACACAGGUAGUCAAGAUGAGAAUUCUAAGGUGAGCGAGCGAACUCUCGUUAAGGAACUCGGCAAAAUGACCCCGUAACUUCGGGAGAAGGGGUGCUCUUUGAGGUUCACGCUUCGAAGAGCCGCAGUGAAUAGGCCCAAGCGACUGUUUAUCAAAAACACAGGUCUCUGCUAAACCGUAAGGUGACGUAUAGGGGCUGACGCCUGCCCGGUGCUGGAAGGUUAAGAGGAGUGGUUAGCG
rnacentral:rRNA from 1 species